AUAUCAGAGUAGCCGAAUCUUCUAAAAGAAGUACCGGGGAUUUAAUUUUGGGGUGAAACUUAAUUCACAAAGUGGGGUACCUCUACCCUAACCCGUCAACUAACCUGGAAGGCAUUAGGAGGAAUAAUG
rnacentral:sRNA from 2 species